rnacentral:rRNA from 1 species
UACCAGCUCUCCGAGUGGUAGGGAUGAUUAUUGGGCUUAAAGCGUCCGUAGCCAGCUUAGCAAGUUUCCUGUUAAAUUCAGCGACCUAAUCGUUGAGCCGCGGGAAAUACUACUAGGCUAGGAGGCGGGAGAGGUCGACGGUACUUCUGGGGUAGGGGUGAAAUCCUAUAAUCCCGGGAGGACCACCAGUGGCGAAGGCUGUCGACUAGAACGCGCUCGACGGUGAGGGACGAAAGCUGGGGGAGCGAACCGGAUUAGAUACCCGGGUAGUCCCAGCUGUAAACGAUGCGGGCUAGGUGUUGGGGUGGCUACGUGCCACUUCAGUGCCGCAGGGAAGCCAUUAAGCCCGCCGCCUGGGGAGUACGGCCGCAAGGCUGAACUUAAAGGAAUUGGCGGGGAGCACCACAAGGCGUGAAGCUUGCGGUUC